AUGCAAAUGAUCCGCUCGAUUGCCAGAAUUUCGUCUUCGUGCCCAAAACAGAAGUUAAUAGCUGCUCUCGUUACAGCCUUCGCCAUUGUUGUUUUGCUUUCCCGACGCGUCCCGAACGCAUUUCCAUUCUAUCAGUGUCUAUCGAUGAACAGCCGGACGGACUGGAGCGCCAUCGACGUCAACACAAUGACGGCCAAACAAAUCAUGGAUUACUUUCGGUGGAACAAUGCAUCGUCGUGUCGUUUAGCUCAAUACUUUGGUGGCGUGACGUUCCUGUUUGGAAUCGACGGCCAGAAGGCCGUCUGCAUGGACCCGGAAAUAAUGCCGUUAGCCGGCAAAUGUAUUGUCUACUCGUUCGGUAUCAACAAUGAUUGGUCGUUCGAGGAAAUGAUCGAUCGUUACGGCUGUGACGUGUACGCCUUCGAUCCGUCUUUGAACAUGACCACUCGCCAACGCAACGACUCAAACAUUCGCUACUUCCACCUGGGAUUGGGUGACCACGAAGAACAAUUCGAUGACGGCUGGCACGUCCAAACUCUGUCCACCAUUUACGAUAAAUUGCUAACCGAAAAACAGCACGCGUCCGACCGCUUCAUUGAUUACCUUAAGAUAGACAUCGAGGAGGAUGAAUGGACGGUUCUCAUCGACAUCCUCGAUUCCGGAAUGCUCGAAAAAGUCAGGCAAAUGGCCGUUCGAAGUGCAUCUACCGCUCGAAGGCAACAUCACGGAUUAUCAGCGGCUGGUUGGUCUUCUCAGAUCGAUGGAAGAGCAGCACGGCAUGGUCCGUUUCGACUCGAAAAUCAACGCUUAUUCAGAAGGCUCCAUUAGGCAUCUGUUUGGCAUGGGCUACGCGGCUCACGAGAUCGCCUGGUACAACCACAAGCUCCGACGGGGACUACAUUAUUAUAACGAAUGAAACGCAUGUCAAAUUUUUUAAUGUUCAAAAUGAGAAGCGGGAAAAAAAAAAAUUUAGUUUAUUACGUUGUUACUCGAUUGUUCCCAAUUUUGUUUCGUUUUUUGGUUUUUAAAAUUUUAAUUGGCAGCAUUAAAUGCGCAAAGUCCUGAAAUAAUGCGAGGUGUGAUACCCUUGCCGAUAUUCUUUUUGAAAAAAAGGAAUGGCUAUGUGGCCUUGUUCGAGCUUUAAACGGUCGUUGGAUAAGAAAGUGGAACUCGGUUAUUGCGAUCUUCUUCUUAUUCUUAUUUUUUUUAGUGCGAUAUCAACCAUAAAAAUAUCGGACAUGAACGAUAACCAGUCUUGCAAUAAAGGGACGCCGCCUAAUGUGGGAAUUCAAAUUCUUCUACGUGACGUUUGCAUUUUUGUGGUUGUCGAUUUCUAAAACGAAAAAGCCCUUGAGGAGUAAGAAAACUACGUACCACACCCCAAUUGCUGUGCAUCCUAAAAAAAAAAAAAUGGGGGUUGUUCUCUAACCCUUCCUUAUCCCGUUUCUCACGGUAUAACUUGUAAAAUGCCCCCCCUCGAACAGUAGAUUGUUUUUACUUACAAUAAAGAAGAAAUUGAUGAAUUAUCCCUCGCAGGUAACAAUUGAAUUGAGCUGAGGUUUGAGUAUCUGCCAAUUUCCGACAGGUAGAGAAUGAAACACACACCUGUGUCUAUUGCAGCAGGUAAAAAGAGAAAACUUGGACCGUUGACUGCCAUCUGUGAACGAUUCAACCAAUGUCUUUUUAGUUUAAAAAAAAUAUACAUAUACAGCAUA